rnacentral:lncRNA from 1 species
GCUUGUUGAAAAUCGUCCAGAACAUUACGUCUACCGAGCUUCCCUGAUCCACUAGCACACGAUGCACCUUCCUUCCUGCAGUUACCACUGAGAUCACCACCGGGUCGUUGUCACGGGGAACAACAUCUUGAAGGUCGGCCUUGGUGAAGACAAGGUCGACAUCAAAAGCAUCAUUGACCCUUUGUGCUUCUACCGACAUCACCG